UAGGGAAUAUUGGGCAAUGGAGGGAACUCUGACCCAGCCAUGCCGCGUGCAGGAUGAAGGCGUUAUGCGUUGUAAACUGCUUUUAUAUAGGAAGAAAUAGUCCUUGCGAGGAAAGUUGACGGUACUAUAUGAAUAAGCACCGGCUAACUCCGUGCCAGCAGCCGCGGUAAUACGGAGGGUGCAAGCGUUGUCCGGAUUUAUUGGGUUUAAAGGUGCGUAGGCGGUUUAUUAAGUCAGUGGUGAAAGACGGUCGCUCAACGAUUGCAGUGCCAUUGAUACUGGUAGACUUGAGUAUGAUUGAGGUAGCUGGAAUGGAUAGUGUAGCGGUGAAAUGCAUAGAUAUUAUCCAGAACACCAAUUGCGUAGGCAAGUUACUAAGUCAUAACUGACGCUGAGGCACGAAAGUGUGGGUAUCAAACAGGAUUAGAUACCCCCGUAGUCCCUGAGCGGGCUGGCAAGGCGCAU
rnacentral:rRNA from 1 species